AUGGUGAUGACUCUUAAUGAGCAUGCUGCCUUCAAGCAUCUGUUUAACAAAGCACAUCUUGCACCGCCCUUAAUCCAUUUAACCCUGAGUGGACACAGCACAUGUUUCAGAGAGCACAGGGUUGGGGGUAAGGUCAUAGAUCAACAGGAUCCCAAGGCAGAAGAAUUUUUCUUAGUACAGAACAAAAUGAAAAGUCUCCCAUGUCUACUUCUUUCUACACAGACACGGCAACCAUCCGAUUUCUCAAUCUUUUCCCCACCUUUCCCCCUUUUCUAUUCCACAAAACCGCCAUUGUCAUCAUGGCCCGUUCUCAAUGAGCUGUUGGGUACACCUCCCAGACGGGGUGGUGGCCGGGCAGAGGGGCUCCUCACUUCCCAGUAG
rnacentral:lncRNA from 1 species